rnacentral:tmRNA from 1 species
GGGGGCGAGCGGUUUCGACGGCACAUGGGCGUGCGCGGAGAGCGAGCCGAGGUCCCGUAACCUCGUAAAACAACGGGAAGAAAAAAUAAAUGCCGACUACGGUUACGCAAUGGCUGCUUAAAUGAAGCAGCCCAUCCCUUUAGCCCGACGCCGCUAAGGUUAAAGGGGUGAAAGGCUAGCGGCUAUUCCCUCGAAAGGUCGCCCCGCCUUUCAGGGAGAAAGGUUUGGGGCUCUCUUAAGAGGGAUCCUGCCCUUGGGAGCCCUCUUGGGGAAGAAAAAACAAGGGCUACGCUCGUAGCUGCUCCGGCAUCACUAUGUGUCGGACGCGGGUUCGAAUCCCGCCGCCUCCACCA